AGUGAACGCUGGCGGUAGGCCUAACACAUGCAAGUCGAACGGCAGCACAGUAAGAGCUUGCUCUUACGGGUGGCGAGUGGCGGACGGGUGCGUAAUACAUCGGAUUCUACUUUUUCGUGGGGGAUAACGUAGGGUAACUUACGCUAAUACCGCAUACGACCUACGGGUGAAAGCAGGGGAUCUUCGGACCUUGCGCGAUUGAAUGAGCCGAUGUCGGAUUAGCUAGUUGGCGGGGUAAAGGCCCAACAAGGCGACGCUCCGUAGCGGGUCCGAGAGGAUGGUUACCUAGAUGGGAACAGAGACACGGCACAGACUCCUACACGGGGACGCAGUCGGGAAUAUUGGACAAUGGGGGAAAGCCUGAUCCAGCCAUACCGCGUGGGUGCAGAAGGACUUCGGGUUGUAAAGCCCUUUUGUUGGGAAAGAAAAGCAGCAGGUUAAUACCCCGCUGUACUGACGGUACCAGAAGAAUAAGCACCGGCUAACUUCGUG
rnacentral:rRNA from 1 species